rnacentral:rRNA from 1 species
UACGUAGGUGGCAAGCGUUGUCCGGAAUUAUUGGGCGUAAAGCGCGCGCAGGCGGUCCUUUAACGUCUGAUGUGAAAGCCCACGGCUCAACCGUGGAGGGUCAUUGGAAACUGGGGGACUUGAGUGCAGGAGAGAAGAGUGGAAUUCCACGUGUAGCGGUGAAAUGCGUAGAGUAUGUGGAGGACUCAGUGGCGAAGGCGACUCUUGGCCUGUAACUGACGCGAGGCGCGAAAGCGUGG